rnacentral:rRNA from 1 species
AAACGACUCUCGGUAACGGAUAUCUCGGCUCUCGCAUCGAUGAAGAACGUAGCGAAAUGCGAUACUUGGUGUGAAUUGCAGAAUCCCGUGAACCAUCGAGUCUUUGAACGCAAGUUGCGCCCCAAGCCUUCAGGCCGAGGGCACGUCUGCCUGGGUGUCAC